GAUGAACGCUGGCGGCGUGCCUAAUACAUGCAAGUCGAGCGAGUGGAUUAAGAGCUUGCUCUUAUGAAGUUAGCGGCGGACGGGUGAGUAACACGUGGGUAACCUGCCCAUAAGACUGGGAUAACUCCGGGAAACCGGGGCUAAUACCGGAUAACAUUUUGAACCGCAUGGUUCGAAAUUGAAAGGCGGCUUCGGCUGUCACUUAUGGAUGGACCCGCGUCGCAUUAGCUAGUUGGUGAGGUAACGGCUCACCAAGGCAACGAUGCGUAGCCGAACUGAGAGGGUGAUCAGCCACACUGGGACUGAGACACGGCCCAGACUCCUACGGGAGGCAGCAGUAGGGAAUCUUCCGCAAUGGACGAAAGUCUGACGGAGCAACGCCGCGUGAGUGAUGAAGGCUUUCGGGUCGUAAAACUCUGUUGUUAGGGAAGAACAAGUGCUAGUUGAAUAAGCUGGCACCUUGACGGUACCUAACCAGAAAGCCACGGCUAACUACGUGCCAGCAGCCGCAGUAA
rnacentral:rRNA from 1 species